rnacentral:rRNA from 1 species
UUUUGACCUCGAAUCAGGUGGGACUACCCGCUGAACUUAAGCAUAUCAAUAAGCGGAGGAAAAGAAACUAACAAGGAUUCCCUUAGUAACUGCGAGUGAAGUGGGAUGAGCUCAAAUUUAAAAUCUGGUAGUCUCUGGCUGCCCGAGUUGUAAUCUAGAGAAGUGUUUUCUGUGCUGGACUGCAUUCAAGUUUCCUGGAUAUGGAACAUCAUAGAGGGUGAGAAUCCCGUCUUUGGUGCAGACUCCCAGUGCUCUGUGAUGCGCUCUCAACGAGUCGAGUUGUUUGGGAUUGCAGCUCAAAAUGGGAGGUAAAUUCCUUCUAAAGCUAAAUAUUGGCGAGAGACCGAUAGCGAACAAGUACCGUG